rnacentral:rRNA from 1 species
UACCCGCUGAACUUAAGCAUAUCAAUAAGCGGAGGAAAAGAAACCAACAGGGAUUACCUUAGUAACGGCGAGUGAAGCGGUAAAAGCUCAAAUUUGAAAUCUUCGGAAUUGUAAUUUGAUGGAUAAAAUUGCUACUGACAAAAGUCCAUUGGAAGAUGGCGCCAUAGAGGGUGAUAGCCCCGUUAUUGUCAACUUGCACUAUAAUUUUAUUCCAAAGAGUCGGGUUGUUUGGGAAUGCAGCUCAAAGUGGGUGGUAAAUUCCAUCUAAAGCUAAAUAUUGACGAGAGACCGAUAGCGAACAAGUACAGUGAUGGAAAGAUGAAAAGAACUUUGAAAAGAGAGUGAAACAGUACGUGAAAUUGUUGAAAGGGAAGGGGAGGGAAGAUGUUAAAGGGACUCCUUCUUAGUAGGGAUCCCCCCAAGAGUCUUUCCUCUCGCCCGUCUUGAA